rnacentral:rRNA from 1 species
AUGAUUGGAAUAUGGGGUCCAGAUGGAGUUGGGAACACACAUCUCCUGAACAAGAUCAACAACUCCUUUGUUGGACCUAACCCUCCAUAUUUUGUUAUCUUUGUUACGGCCUCCAGAGAAUCCUUGGUACGAAAUAUUCAAGCUCAAAUCAUACAACGUCUCGAAAUAAGAAAGGAUGAUGUUGUGCCAAAUCCAGCCACCAACAUAUCAGAACAACUCAGGACAAGAGACUUUCUCCUGUUGGUGGAUGGCCUUUAUGAGAACCUAGACCUUCUAGAAGUUGGCAUUCCACAUCCUCUUGGAAUAAUUGAGGGCCAAUUCAAGAGGAAAGUGGUAAUCACAUCACAAUCAAAAACUGUAUGUGACCGAAUGUUUGUGAAUGAAUAUAUAGAGAUGCCUGGUUUGGGUGAGACUGAAUCCUUCGAGCUAUUUGCACAAACUUUUGGUCAGGAAGAUAUUGAUUCUGAUCCCCACAUCAGGGCCAUAGCUCAUGAUCUCGUAAAGGAACUAAAAGGUGUGCCGUCAGACUUAAUACAUUUUGGGAAACAAAUGGUAGGUAAAAGCGAUCCAGGGGAGUGGGAAGAUGUCAUUUGUACAGUAAGGAAGUUGAACCUUCAAAAGAAAGACCCAACUUUGGGUGGAAGGACUUUGAAAAAUCUCAAGGAUGCCACCAACAACUUGGUUGCGAGGAGCAAAGAUGUCCAUAAUAAGAUUAAGGCUUCCGAGCGGGAGGGCAUGACAUCCACGAAUGAGGUGAACAAAUGGCUGGAACAAGUGGAUACCAUCAAUUAUGAUGUGGAGGUAAUCUUUGCGCGCAACAAGUUGAAAAAGGAUGUUACUAUGGAAGCAAUCAAGACGGUUCCUCAGGUCCAAGAAUGUCUCAGGGCUUGUCCCAAUAAUAUUGCAUUUGUGUCAGUGCCACCUCCUGCCCAAGAGAUACCGGGCCCCUGUAUGUCUUCCCAGAACCGUAACCUUAAAGAGGCUCUCCAGUUCAUUAAGGAUGACCCUGUGGGAAUGAUUGGAAUAUGGGGUCCAGGUGGAGUUGGGAAAACAUAUCUUCUGAACAGUAUCAAUAACUCAAUUGCUGUUGCUGGAGGCAUUUCAUUUGAUGUUAUCUUUGUGAGGGCCUCUAGGGGGUGUUCAGUGGAGAAGAUCCAAGGAGAUUUCCUAAUGAAGCUCGGAAUGAAAGCAGAUGGUAAUGUGGAAUCUCAAAGCCAAAAGAUUUUUAAUUUCCUGAAAAACAGGAGCUUUCUUAUACUGUUGGAUGACCUUUGGGAGCAAAUUGAUCUGCAAGCAGUUGGCAUUCCUUAUCCUCUUGGAAUUCUGGGCCAAUUCAAGAGGAAAGUGAUAAUCACGUCACGAUCAGAAAACGUAUGUCAUCUGAUGGAUGUGAAGGUGCCUAUAGAAGUGCCUCGCUUGGAAGAUGGUGAAGCACUCCAGCUAUUUAAACAAACGGUUGGUCAGGAAAAUCUGAAUGAGGAUCCGCACAUCGGGGCCCUUGUGAUAGAUCUUGUCAAAGAACUACAAGGUCUGCCAUCAGAAUUGAUACAUUUUGGGAAGGUAUUGCGAAGAAAAAGAGAUCCAAUGCAGUGGGAAAAUGUCAUUCAGGCAGUAAAGAAAUCAAACCUUUGUAAGGAUGACCCAUUGUCUGUGACAGGAAAGAUUGUGAAAGAUCUUAAGGAUGCCAACAAAAGCUUGCUUGCAAGGAGCAAUGACAUCCGCCGUAGGAUUGAGACUGACGAGCGAGAGGGCAGGACAUCCACGAUUGAGGUGGAUGGAUGGCUGGAAAAAGUUGCUAUUAUCAAUUCUGGUGCACAGGUAAUCUUCAAUGGCUAUGAGUUGAAUAAGGAUAUCAGAAUGGAGGCAACUGAGAAGCUUUCUGAGAUCCAAGAAUGUCUCAGGGCUUGUCCCGAUAAUAAUAAUAUUGCACUUGAGUCUGUGCCGGCACCUACCCAAGAGAUACCCGGUCCAUCAAUGUCUGCUGAGAACUGUAAUCUUCAAAAGGCUCUCCUAUUCAUUAAUGAUGACCCUGUGGGAAUGAUUGGAAUAUGGGGUCCAGGUGGAGUGGGGAAAACAUAUCUUUUGAAAAAUAUCAAUAACUCAUUUGGAGGCAUGUCCUUGCAUGUUAUCUUUGUGACAGCCUCCAAGGGGUGUUCAGUGCAAACCAUCCAAGAGGAGAUUCUAAAGAAGCUCAGAAUGCCAGAAGGAGCUAAUGUGGAAUCUCAAUGCCAAAUCAUUUACGAAUUCCUGAAAAAUAGAAGCUUUCUUCUUUUGUUGGAUGACCUUUGGGAGCAAAUUGAUUUGCAAGCAGUUGGCAUACCAUAUCCCCUUGGAAUUGUAAACCAACUCAAAAGAAAAGUGGUUCUUACAACAAGAUUAAGAAAAGUUUGUGGUCAAAUGGAGGUAAGGGAAGAGUUAAUAGUCACUUGUCUGCAGGAGGAGGAUGCAUGGCAGUUAUUUAAAGAGAAGGUCAGUCAGGAAACUCUUUCUUCAAGUCCUCGUAUUGAAACCCUUGCAAAAGAACUUGUGAAAGAGCUGAAGGGUUUGCCAUUAGCUUUGAUAGUUAUUGGAAAGGCAAUGUAUCCAAAAACUGAUCCGAUUGAAUGGGAAUAUGCUAUCGAGCAUAUGCAACGAUCAUGUUGUGACGAGGAUAAUCCCCUGUCUAUAGAAAAUAUUUUCGGACAACUCAAGUUUAGUUACGAUAAUUUAUGGAGUGACACAUUGAGACAUUGUUUCUUGACUUGUGCACUGUGGCCAGAGGAUUGGGAGAUUAUCAAAGCUGACCUUGCACAAUGCUGGAUGGGCUUAGGUCUAUUGGAUGAGUGUGAUAUUCGAAGGUCCUACUCACAAGCAUAUAGUCUAAUCGGCGACCUUAGAGAUGCAUGUUUAUUAGAGAACCGGGGAAAUUGGUAUGGUUCUGUUAAAGUGCAUGACGUGAUUCGUGAUAUGGCUUUGUGGAUCUCUUGUGGCUGUUGUGAGAAUAACAACAAUUGGUUUGUCCGUGCAAAAGUUGCCACAGAAGAAAGAUUUAGCAUCCCUUGGGGCAAAGCUGAGUACAUCUCGUUGAUGUUGAAUGGAAUGAGUAAACUUCCUUCCUUUGGCAAUGAUCAUGGCCCUAUGAAACUGAUGACAUUAUGCCUUCAAAAUAAUUAUUUUGAUGGAAGCAUAGUUGAAACAAUCAAGAAUUUCGCUUCACUGACAUAUUUGGAUUUGAGGACGAACCUUCUCAAGGACAUACCUGAAGAAUUAUGCUCCUUAGUGAACUUGGAGUACCUUGAUUUGUCACAUAAUCCUGACAUAUACCAAUUGCCGGACUGCUUUGGAAAGCUCAUUAAGCUCAAGUUCUUGUACUUGCAGUGCACGGACAUACGAAUAAUACCAAAGAAGGUGAUAUCUAACCUUAAAGCUUUGCAAGUGAUAGACAUGAGGACUUGGCGGGCAUAUCGUGGAGGAGGCUCUAUCAACUAUAACCCUGCAAUAUUCCAAGAGUUGGGCACCCUUGAUCAGUUGAAAGCAGCUGGUAUUGAGGCCGAUGGUUUCACAGAGUAUGAAUCACUAAGAGAUGUCGCAGCUAAUCUCCCCAUUCGAUCUUUAAUUAUGGGGAGUCUCAAAGAAACACACCCCUUAUGCCUCUCUGAUAUUCUUUCAGCCGACUUUGCACGACGAACCUUGUUUGAACUGGAAAUUAUAUGGAGCAAGAUGGAGCAAAUAACAGGAAGACAAGAACCAAACUACUGUUUUGGUACUCUGAAUAAGCUCUUCCUGUGGUUUUUGGUGAACUUGAAAGAGAUCACAUGGGUGGGAAGGUCUCCAGCGUCUGUGUUUCCAAGGCUCACUUGUGUGAAUGUGAAUAGCUGCUCAAAGCUAGAGCACCUCUCUUGGACGAUGUACCUGCCCUGCCUUGAGCAGUUGGAGGCACGUUUCUGCGACAACAUGAAGGAAGCAUUUCGGAGGACCGUGCAUCACGGUGAAAUAACGAGCACAGGUCAAGAGAGUUCAAGUGCAUCUAAAGGUACAUUUCCUUGCCUGAAACAGCUGCGCCUUUCGGACAACCCAAAGCUGAUCACCAUCUGUGAUCCCGACGUGACGUUCCCGUCCCUGGAGCAGCUGGUGCUCACAAAGUCUCCAGAGUUGAUCAGACUCCCUUUCCAGAUACACAGCUUGCCGCUAAAGCUGCAGGAGCUACAGUUUGAUGAUGUCGAAUGCUGGGACAGGUUGGAAUGUGAAGAAGGUGUCAAAUCUUUCCUACAACAUUGUCUUAAAUUUGGCUAUGUGAGUGAAAUAUCAUGA